rnacentral:SRP_RNA from 1 species
GCUGGGCAUGGUGGUGCGUGCCUGUAGUCCCAGCUACUUGGGAGGCUGAGGCUGGAGAAUCACUUGAACCCAGGAAGUGUAGGUUGCAGUGAGCCGAGAUUGUGCCACUGCACUCCAGCUUGGGCAAGAGAGUGAGACUUCGUCUUUU